GAACAAGCAAACAUUCAAACACUCACUCCUGGUUUUCUUUCAGAUUUAAAUUUUUUUCUUUUUUUCCAAGGACAAAAAACUUGUCCUUGGAACCAUUUCCAAGGACAAGCCAGACCUUCGUUUGAAAGAAAAAAAAUAUUUUCAAGUUUAUGCUAUAGCAUCUAGAAGAGCGGUCCCCAACCUUUUUAUCACCUUGAACCGGUCAAGGCUUGACAACAGCCCGGGGGUGGUGGGGUGAUGAACUGUCAGACAAGGCUUUUGCAUGUUGGUGUGCCCGCUAAAGCAGGGGUGGGAAAUCCUGGCCCUCAAGGGCAGGUGUCCUGCAACUCUUGGAUGUCUCUCUGGUCCAACACACUUCAAUCAAAUAGAUGACUCACCUUCUAAGUGCAGUCAGGUUCUCCAGAGUCUUGCAAAUGACCUCGUUAUUUGACUCAGGUGUGUUGAAGUAGAGACACACCUAAAAGUUGCAGGAGACCGACCCUCGAGGCCUGGAGUUCCCCACCCUUGCGCUAAAGCCAAGUUCACAUGGCACAAUUUUUAAUUUUUUGUCCCGAUUUUCAAAAUUCUAAGAUUGUCAACUUGCUUGCGAUACCGAUCAUCCUGCUUGUGUGGUGUGCUAUGACUGAUCGGAUUCAAUUGGUAAAACGUCGGACCACUCAAAUAAAAAAUUGAAUAGGGGUGCAGUGCGUUGGUGAAGAAUAAAUCUUCCAUAUUGUUGGCCUCCCUAACACAGGUUAUAACAGCCAGACCUCCUGUUUGAAAAGAAGUGUGUUACCUAAUAUAUAUGAGGUAUAUGUCUUAACUAUACAUUUUCUUUGAGAAAAAACAUUGACUAGGUUUUUCUUUCUUUGUAAUGUUUACUGAGAGCAAUUCAAGCUAAUGCUCCCUUGCUGUAAGUUAAUGUUAGUUAAAGUUAUUAAACUUCAUAGCUGUAAGGUUAGCUAUUAACUUUAAACAUAUUUUAAAGGCAGGCAAAUAGAUUUUUUCCCUCUAAUUUUAAUCAAGCAAAUUAAAAGCUACUAUGUUAGUCAACGUUAUAUUUAUUUAGCAACUUGGCUGAAGUGACAUAGUGCUUGUGUUCUUUGCUUUACUGACUUUAGCCACAUGAAGACCCAUUUUAACCAAAGGACAUGGUGGGGUGGAAAAAAGAAUGCUAAUGAAGAUGUGCUAGGGGUGUGGAGGAUGCUAACAAGGACCAGUCAUGAGAGAAAGAAAUCCCUGUUUGACCAAAGACAAAGAAGCAGAUGAAAUAUUCCCCAAGAAAUUUAGAAACUCCAGAAGACACAGAUGGAGGCCAAAAUCAUUUGGAUCUAUGACUACAUCACAAACAGAAAACAGUUGGUGAAACUGAAGGACUGUAUGUUUAACCAGCUACAUAAAGACCCAUUUUAGCCUAAGGACACCUGGUGGGGAGUGAGGUGGACAGAGAUGCCUAAUGAAGACAUGCUACAGUUGUGGACGGUGCUAAUGAGGACCAGCCAUGAGAGAAAGAAAUCCCUAUCUGGAAAUAUUGACUGUGAUGUCACAGCGCAGAUGGAUGACAAAACUGCCAGAUUACAUCCCCUCUCACGAAGACUGAAUUAGCAAGUCGUGAUCUGAGGAAAAACAUCAAUCUGC